rnacentral:rRNA from 1 species
UGGUGGAGUGAUUUGUCUGGUUAAUUCCGAUAACGAGCGAGACCUCAGUUUGCUAAUUAGUUGUGCGAAUCGCGUAUUCGUGUAGACAGCUUCUUAGAGAGACUAUCGGUGAGUAGCCGAUGGAAGUUUGAGGCAAUAACA